GCUCGUGUAGCUCAGUGGUUAGAGCUUCGUGCUUAUAGCGGCAUAAAUCAAUGACGUUGUGCAAAAUGUCACAGUUGUGUGAGUAACGCGACCGUCGUGGGUUCGAACCCCACCUCGAGCA
rfam:Wickerhamomyces anomalus NRRL Y-366-8 unplaced genomic scaffold WICANscaffold_1, whole genome shotgun sequence.